ACGCGCUGAAUUUAAGCAUAUCAGUAAGCGGAGGAAAAGAAACUAACAAGGAUUACCUCAGUAGCGGCGAGUGAAGAGGUAAAAGCCCAAGAUGUUAAUCUGGUAUAAAUUAUCAGAAUUGUAAUCUAUAGGGAUUCUCGGAAGUAUAUAAUAAGUCAUAAGUGGAUUGGAAAAUCCUGCCAAAGAGGGUGAUAGCCCCGUCUUAGGAUUUAUUAUAGCGUACGAGGGUUUUCUAAGAGUCGGGUAGUUUGGGAUUGCUGCCCUAAUUAGGAGGUAUACUUCUCCUAAGGCUAAAUAUUUAUAGGAGACCGAUAGCAUACAAGUACUGCGAAGGAAAGAUGAAAAGAACUUUGAAAAGAGGGUUAAAAGACUUGAAAUCGUUGAAAAGGAAGCAGUAGAAGAGAAAUUGUUUUUUACUAAAACUAAGGCUUUUAUCUAGGUUUUAUAUUUGAAGUAUUUAAUAGAACGUAGGAUAUAAAAUGACCAUAAUAGCCUGUUUAGUAAGAAUGGACAAAAUGAGAUCAUGUUAUAAGAAUAAAGGUAGGCAUGCAUUUGCCGCUCAUAAAUUAUAAUGUGGUCUGAGGGAUCUUAUGAUGAUUUUGUCAAAAUGGCUUCUACUGACCCGUCUUGAAACACGGACCAAGGAGUCUACCUAUUAUGCGAGUGUGAGGGUGUAAAAACCUGAACGCAUACCGAAAGGGAGUAUAAGGUGUGAAUAAAAAAUUGCAACAUCAACCAAUCCUGAUCCUCUGGAGAAGGACUUGAGUAAGAGCAUAAUCGGUAGGACCCGAAAGAUGGUGAACUACACUUGAGUAGGGUGAAGCCAGGGGAAACUCUGGUGGAGGCCCGUAGCGUUACUGACGUGCAAAUCGUUCGUCAAACUUGCGUGUAGGGGCGAAAGACUAAUCGAACCAUCUAGUAGCUGGUUCCCUCUGAAAUUUCUCUCAGGAAAGCUGGAACAGUUAAUGCAGUUUUAUCAGGUAAAGCUAAUGAUUAGAGGAAUCGGAGCCCUGCGGGUUUUGACCUAUUCUCAAACUUUAAAUUGGUAAGAACUUUCAGUUAUCUUAAUUGAACUGAGAGGUAGAAUGCAUUGUUCUAAGUGGGCCAUUUUUGGUAAGCAGAACUGGCGAUGAGGGAUGAACCUAACGUUGAGAUAAGGUGCCAAAAUUCACGCUCAUGAGAUACCACAAAAGGUGUUGGUUAAUUAAGACAGAUGGACUAUGGCCAUGGAAGUCGGCACUAGCUAAGGAGUGUGUAACAACUCACCAGCCGAAUUAACUAGCCCUGAAAAUUGAUGGCGCUGCAGCGUGAUACCGAUACUCAACCAUCAUAAUAAAUAGAAAUUAUGAUGAGUAAGAGGGCGUGAAUACUGUACAGAAGAUUUUGGUGUGAACCUGAUUGGAACAGUAUUUAGUGCAGAUCUUGGUGGUAGUAGCAAAUAUUCAAAUGAGAAUUUUGAAGGCCGAAGUGGAGAAGGGUUCCAAGGGAAACGAAUUGUGCCUUGGGUUAAUCGUUCCUAAGACAUAGGGAAAUUCCUUGUAAUACAUGUAUUCUUACGAAUACAAAGUCGAAAGGGAAUGAGGUUAAUAUUCCUCAAUUAGAACGCGGAUAAAUUGUGGCAACACAAAUGAGCUUGGAGACAUCGGUAUGUACCCCUGGAAGAGUUCUCUUUUCUUCUUAACAAUUUAUCUCCCUGAAUGAAUUAUUCAGAGAUAGGGAUGUAUAAUUGGCAGAGCAAUACACUUCCGUAUUGUCAGGUGUGUUCAUAACGAUCCUUGAAAAUCCAAGGGAGAUGUUUAUAUCGCGUCUAGACGUACCCAUAACCGCAUCAGGUCUCCAAGGUU
rnacentral:rRNA from 1 species